CUCAAAGAGGGUGGAAACCCAGAGAGGUGAGGAUAGAGAUGAGGCAGAGACUAGGGGAAGCAGGAUAGCAACCGGUCGGGGGGCAGAGACUCAGGGAGGAUAGAGACUCACAGAGAGGUGAGGAUAGAGACUUGGGAGGGACUCAGGAAGCAUAGCGACUGUGGGGCAGAGUCAGAGAGGGGAGGAUACAGACUUGGGAGGGCAGAGACUCAGAAACAGAAUGUUCCCAUUAGGGACAUGGUGUUGCGGGGAGCUGCCUCCCCCAGCCCCUGCUCCCUCCCUUACCGCCAGACUAUGAUGAGAGAAGCCACCUGCAUGACACCUUCACCCAGAUGGCCCAUGCCCUGCAGGAGCUGGCUGCUGCCCAGGGAUCCUUUGAGACUGCCUUCCCUGAUGCUGCGGAGAAAAUGAAGAAGGUCAUUACACAGCUUAAAGAAGGUAAAAUACACUCCAUCUCUCCUUCCCCAGACAAGCACAC
rnacentral:sRNA from 1 species